rnacentral:lncRNA from 10 species
CAAACACAAGGAGGGUGAGGAUUCCUUUCCUAAAGAAUCCCACAGCAUAACAGGGAGAGAGGCUGCAAGAGAUCAUGCUACUGAGAGGCACUAAUGCAGGGUCCAUGUGGUGCAGUCACAGGAGACUGCAGAGAGGGGGCAGGGACUGCUCCCAGGAGUGGUGGCAUCUGACCUGUGACUUGAAGCAUAUGAAUUUACUAGUGGUUUCCACAAGAGAAGCGCUCCAGGAAGAGGGAACUGUAUGUGGCUCGCACAUGGGUCUGGGAGCAAAGACAAAUGCCUGUGAAUGGAAGAGACACACACAAGAGAAGGGCUGGAGAGGGAGGAGGGGGUGAGGAGCUCUCUAGGUCCCAUCAAGAGAGCACAGUGAAGCAGAGAGCCUCCUGUCCACCAAGAGGGCAUGCAGAGCCAGGCUCAGGAGUCCCGGCUUCAUUCUGGAUGGGCCCUGUCCAGGUAACAGAGUUAACUGAGGCAUUAUUCUAAGGACAGAGUGGUGGGGGUCAAAUGUGGGGGAAAGAACUGGGAUCAAGGUCUACGUGAAGGAUGAUGUGGCAGCAGGCAUCAAGACAGAAAGGAAGAGGCAAAUGCAUGAAAUCUUCAGAAGUCUAGAAAAGAGCAUCAACUGGACUUGGGAACUGAAUGUGGAGGCUCCGGAUCCAAGACCUCGAAGAGCAGCUCAGGCUGACUGCCUUGCUCAGGGAGGCUGGCCCUCAACAAGAAACAGGAAUUAAGAAAGUAGACAGCUUUGGGAGAAGGGGAGAACACACAGAUGAAAUUAAUAUGCCCCCAAAUUGGAAGCUUUGGAAAAGGGAGGAAUGAAUGCAGCCAGAGAGUAAGAGUGCCGUCACGUCAAAGAGAUUCACAGCAGACUCGGCUAUGUGCCUGCAUCCAGAUAAUCAAGAACUCCUGCC